CAAAUUUCUGCCCUAUCAAGUUUCGAUGGUAGGAUAGAGGCCUACCAUGCUUGGGUACGGGUAACGGCGAAUUAGGGUUCGAUUCCGGAGAGGGAGCCUGAGAAACGGCUACCACAUCUAAGGAAGGCAGCAGGCGCGCAAAUUACCCAAUCCUGAUUCAGGGAGGUAGUGACAAUAAAUAACAAUCCAGGACUUCGGUCUUGGAAUUGGAAUGAGAACAAUUUAAAUCUCUUAUCGAGGAACAAUUGGAGGGCAAGUCUGGUGCCAGCAGCCGCGGUAAUUCCAGCUCCAAUAGCGUAUAUUAAAGUUGUUGCAGUUAAAUAGCUCGUAGUUGAAUCUUGGGGCUGGUUUGGCGGUCGCGUCUUUGACGUGUACUGUCGGCCGGUUCUUUUACUUGUGGGGAACGUAUGUGCCCUUUGCGGGGUGUGUACGGGAACCAUGGCUGUUACUUUGAAAAAAUUAGAGUGUUUAAAGCGGGCGUAAGGCUGGUAUACAUUAGCAUGGAAUAAUAGAAUAGGACUUUGGUUU
rnacentral:rRNA from 1 species